rnacentral:rRNA from 1 species
GGGUUGUGAGGUUAAGCGACUAAGCGUACACGGUGGAUGCCCUGGCAGUCAGAGGCGAUGAAGGGCGUGCUAAUCUGCGAUAAGCGCCGGUAAGGUGAUAUGAACCGUUAUAACCGGCGAUACCCGAAUGGGGAAACCCAGUGUGACUCGUCACACUAUCAUUAACUGAAUCCAUAGGUUAAUGAGGCGAACCGGGGGAACUGAAACAUCUAAGUACCCCGAGGAAAAGAAAUCAACCGAGAUUCCCCCAGUAGCGGCGAGCGAACGGGGAGGAGCCCAGAGCCUGAAUCAGCAUGUGUGUUAGUGGAAGCGUCUGGAAAGGCGCGCGAUACAGGGUGACAGCCCCGUACACAAAAGCGCAUGUGCUGUGAGCUCGAUGAGUAGGGCGGGACACGUGGUAUCCUGUCUGAAUAUGGGGGGACCAUCCUCCAAGGCUAAAUACUCCUGACUGACCGAUAGUGAACCAGUACCGUGAGGGAAAGGCGAAAAGAACCCCGGCGAGGGGAGUGAAAAAGAACCUGAAACCGUGUACGUACAAGCAGUGGGAGCCCCACCACCAAAGCAUUCUCUGGUGUUGAAGGCCCUGCAAAGCAGCAUCGCGGUGGCGGAGCGUCGUUUGCGACGCCCAACACACAAAACAAGCGGUGAAUGCUUUGGGGUGGGGUGACUGCGUACCUUUUGUAUAAUGGGUCAGCGACUUAUAUUCUGUAGCAAGGUUAACCGAAUAGGGGAGCCGGAGGGAAACCGAGUCUUAAUUGGGCGUUAAGUUGCAGGGUAUAGACCCGAAACCCGGUGAUCUAGCCAUGGGCAGGUUGAAGGUUGGGUAACACUAACUGGAGGACCGAACCGACUAAUGUUGAAAAAUUAGCGGAUGACCUGUGGCUGGGGGUGAAAGGCCAAUCAAACCGGGAGAUAGCUGGUUCUCCCCGAAAGCUAUUUAGGUAGCGCCUCGUGAAUUCAUCUCCGGGGGUAGAGCACUGUUUCGGCUAGGGGGCCAUCCCGGCUUACCAACCCGAUGCAAACUGCGAAUACCGGAGAAUGUUAUCACGGGAGACACACGGCGGGUGCUAACGUCCGUCGUGAAGAGGGAAACAACCCAGACCGCCAGCUAAGGUCCCAAAGUCAUGGUUAAGUGGGAAACGAUGUGGGAAGGCCCAGACAGCCAGGAUGUUGGCUUAGAAGCAGCCAUCAUUUAAAGAAAGCGUAAUAGCUCACUGGUCGAGUCGGCCUGCGCGGAAGAUGUAACGGGGCUAAACCAUGCACCGAAGCUGCGGCAGCGACGCUGAUGCGUUGUUGGGUAGGGGAGCGUUCUGUAAGCCUGCGAAGGUGACCUGUGAGGGUUGCUGGAGGUAUCAGAAGUGCGAAUGCUGACAUAAGUAACGAUAAAGCGGGUGAAAAGCCCGCUCGCCGGAAGACCAAGGGUUCCUGUCCAACGUUAAUCGGGGCAGGGUGAGUCGACCCCUAAGGCGAGGCCGAAAGGCGUAGUCGAUGGGAAACGGGUUAAUAUUCCCGUACUUGGUGUUACUGCGAAGGGGGGACGGAGAAGGCUAUGUUGGCCGGGCGACGGUUGUCCCGGUUUAAGCGUGUAGGUGUGUGUUCCAGGUAAAUCCGGUUCACUUUAACACUGAGGCGUGAUGACGAGGCACUACGGUGCUGAAGCAACAAAUGCCCUGCUUCCAGGAAAAGCCUCUAAGCAUCAGGUAACAUCAAAUCGUACCCCAAACCGACACAGGUGGUCAGGUAGAGAAUACCAAGGCGCUUGAGAGAACUCGGGUGAAGGAACUAGGCAAAAUGGUGCCGUAACUUCGGGAGAAGGCACGCUGACACGUAGGUGAAGUGAUUUACUCAUGGAGCUGAAGUCAGUCGAAGAUACCAGCUGGCUGCAACUGUUUAUUAAAAACACAGCACUGUGCAAACACGAAAGUGGACGUAUACGGUGUGACGCCUGCCCGGUGCCGGAAGGUUAAUUGAUGGGGUCAGCGCAAGCGAAGCUCCUGAUCGAAGCCCCGGUAAACGGCGGCCGUAACUAUAACGGUCCUAAGGUAGCGAAAUUCCUUGUCGGGUAAGUUCCGACCUGCACGAAUGGCGUAAUGAUGGCCAGGCUGUCUCCACCCGAGACUCAGUGAAAUUGAACUCGCUGUGAAGAUGCAGUGUACCCGCGGCAAGACGGAAAGACCCCGUGAACCUUUACUAUAGCUUGACACUGAACAUUGAGCCUUGAUGUGUAGGAUAGGUGGGAGGCUUUGAAGCGUGGACGCCAGUCUGCGUGGAGCCGACCUUGAAAUACCACCCUUUAAUGUUUGAUGUUCUAACGUGGACCCGUAAUCCGGGUUGCGGACAGUGUCUGGUGGGUAGUUUGACUGGGGCGGUCUCCUCCUAAAGAGUAACGGAGGAGCACGAAGGUUGGCUAAUCCUGGUCGGACAUCAGGAGGUUAGUGCAAUGGCAUAAGCCAGCUUGACUGCGAGCGUGACGGCGCGAGCAGGUGCGAAAGCAGGUCAUAGUGAUCCGGUGGUUCUGAAUGGAAGGGCCAUCGCUCAACGGAUAAAAGGUACUCCGGGGAUAACAGGCUGAUACCGCCCAAGAGUUCAUAUCGACGGCGGUGUUUGGCACCUCGAUGUCGGCUCAUCACAUCCUGGGGCUGAAGUAGGUCCCAAGGGUAUGGCUGUUCGCCAUUUAAAGUGGUACGCGAGCUGGGUUUAGAACGUCGUGAGACAGUUCGGUCCCUAUCUGCCGUGGGCGCUGGAGAACUGAGGGGGGCUGCUCCUAGUACGAGAGGACCGGAGUGGACGCAUCACUGGUGUUCGGGUUGUCAUGCCAAUGGCACUGCCCGGUAGCUAAAUGCGGAAGAGAUAAGUGCUGAAAGCAUCUAAGCACGAAACUUGCCCCGAGAUGAGUUCUCCCUGAGACUUAAAGUCUCCUGAAGGAACGUUGAAGACGACGACGUUGAUAGGCCGGGUGUGUAAGCGCAGCGAUGCGUUGAGCUAACCGGUACUAAUGAACCGUGAGGCUUAACCUUACAACGCCGAAG